GAGCAUUAACACUGUAAUUUUGCAACUACAGAGUGCUCCUUCACCUGUCACAAGCAUAUUUAAACCAUAAUGUAGCAGUUUGAUGACAGAGAAGAAUUGCCACACAGAAAAAAAGGAGUACAGGCAUUAAAACAAUGGGAGGUGUACCUCACUUCAGGGGUGCCCAAAUAUUGCCCAGACAGCCAAAUGGGAGAGCAAGUCACAACUACAGCAAGUACAUCCGACUUGCCUGAAGAUGAUAUGAAUCUGACUUUUUAGGCUGCAGGACUGUGUGCACGCAGGGGCAUGCACAAACUUUUAUUGCUGGUGAAGAAGGAGCCAAAACAGCCACCCUGGGGACUGAAUUUCUCCAUUUGUCCACAGAACGGGUUGAGAAUGUAUAGGAGCAGGGCAAAGCUCCCCAUGUGGCCCCAACAAAUUGUCUUGAUCCAGAGGGACAACUUCAAGACUCUUCUACACAGCAGUUCUCUGGGUGCUAGGAAGCACUUGUCAUGCUGUCAAUGAAUAAAGAAAACACCAUACACAAACAAAGCAAAACAGACUUUUAUUCUCUUAUGUCUGGAAUGAGGCAACACCGAAGCAGCAAACAACACUUUAAGCAACUACACCAGGGGUAGGCAACCUAUGGCAUGCGCGCCAAAUGCGGCACGCAAGCUGAUUUUCAGUGGCACUAACACUGCCGUGUCCUGGACACCAGUCCAGGGGGCUCUGCAUUUUAAUUUAAUUUUAAAUGAAGCUUCUUAAACGUUUUAAAAACCUUAUUUACUUUCCAUACAACAAUAGUUUAGUUCUAUAUGAUAGACUUAUAGAAAGAGACCUUCUAAAACCAUUAAAAUGUAUUACUGGCACGUGAAACAUUAAAUCAGAGUGAAUAAAAUGAAGACUCGGCACAACGCUUCUGAAAGGUUGCCGACCCCUGAACUACACUUUCCUGAACAGCUUAUUGUGCUCAGUGUCAGAGUUCCAAACUCUCCCCAUAUUUUAUAUUUAUUAUUAUUAAUAAAUGGCAUCCAUCACAGA